GACGUUGACGGAGCACGUCAGAGAAGGAAGACUGAGACCGCGCUUGUUUGAAAUCGAAAGGUGUCGCGGUAGCUUUUGAUAAAGAUUAUCAUCAAGACGAAGCAACUGCAUUAUAAGUGGGAUGCACUGUUGACCGCAACAUCCCGAGGCGUUCGUGCUGAUUGUACGGAGAUUGUGACAGCGGGUUAAAUGGCGUCCCUUGAGAAAGCAAGAACAAGAUAUGUCAGGAGAAGUGCAGUAUUACAUAAGGAGAUGUAUACUUGGAAAAAUGGAUAUGGUUUGUUAAAGAAGAAUGGUAGAAAGUGUAAACUGAGUGAGCUGAAGACCGGUGGAGAAAUGGAAGUGUAUGAGGGCGAAGUAUCGGAGGUUCCCAUUUCAUGACAAGCCCAGGCUACAGCAGUGGGUAGCAACUGUCAGGCGGAUGAAUUGGAAACCAACCCAACACUCUUGUCUCUGCCCAUCACUUUGAAGAUGAGUGUUUUUGGGAUGAUGACAAGGGAAAGGUCAGCCUCACUGCUUCUGCCCAUUAUUUUCUCCCCUGGUUGUCUUCAAAAGUGGUCACAAUGCCCCAGGGAAAGAUCAAGGAAUACAGUAGGUACAGAGGUAAGUGGCAACGCUGAUAAUGUGAAAGCGUCUGCGGCAUGAUCACACUUAAUGUGUAUGUUACAUCGUUGAGGUACUUGUUGAUGAUGAUGUUGGUCACAGCAAUAUCAAUGUGUUGUGUCUUUAGUAUCAUUAAAGGUGAAGACUGUUAUUUUAUCAACUCAAUUCUCUGUAAUUAUUAUUAUGUGAUUAAACUAAUCCUGUAAAUGUAAUUAACUAGGAAGUCAGGGCACCACGGAAAAUCUUCAGAUUACAAAAAUUAUAAUUUUCCAAAUAUAACUCUUCAGAUAUUUGAAUCUGAUCAAUUAGUCUUCUAUUAAUGAAUUAUUCUUUAUCUUACGUCAGUCUCAUUUCAAACAUCGUAGAAUUCUUGGUUAUCUGUACAAACCCAGCCUAAACUAUGAAUCAUCCAUACACCAAUUGGCUUAAUCAUUUAUUUACUAACUAACUAAACAAUCACAGAAAUGCAUAACAAACAGUAGAUAUUGGUUACUAACAAUGAUAGGGAAGAUCCCCUAGUGGACUAAACCGAUAUGACUGCUUGGUGGACAAAGAAAAGGGAGUGUGGACCGAUAAAGGAGCUUGAAAGACAAAAUGGAUCACUACACACAGUGGAUAAUUAUAUUAAUUGAAAUGCUAAUCCUUUGCAGAUGAUGCUCGCUCAUUCGGGAAUAAUUACAAUCAAUAUAUUUACGCCCAUAUGUCGUUGUCUUCUCUGUUGGAAUUGUCCGUCCGUCUGCUGGAGAGUCAGUUCAUCAGAGUCUCUCUGGUUACUUAUGGUGUUAGCUCUAUCGGCGGCUCCUGAUAGUGUCUGUUGUAAUGGGUACGUCAGGGGUCCAUUGUUCUUAGAGUAGAUGUUUCGGCGGUCGUCGGUAUUUUCAUUCCAGGUUUACAUAAUUUCUAGCUGCAGACUAGUAAUUAGUAUCUAAGAUUUGCUCUUAUUCUGCAGGGAUCGAUAGUCUCAGAGUUGAACCAUUUCCAGCCGUGUAGCCAAUGCGCCAUGUGGUAUGGUUUUGUAGUCGUGGUACUCAACCAUUGCAACCACAGCUCACGCUGGGGGUUUGCUUAGUCUGAAGAGGAUUUCCUCAGGAGGGUUUUUUAUUAGUAACAAUAGAAAAGGGCGGUUCCAUGAUGCCUGAUCAUGUCUGUGCUCACAGGAUGUGCUCCCUGUGCUCACAGGGAAAUAACAAAUAGUUUCAUCUUUACUCAUUCAUUUUAUAACCCCAUAAUUCAGAAAUGUACACAUUCAGACAUAUAGUUGUGUGUUUCCUGUCCUCCAUGAGGUCACCAAAUGAAACACACUCGUCAUACCCGUCCCUUAAGUGUCCAUGGACCCUUCCCACAUUCUCACAAGUGGACAUAUAGUUUAAUUCUUCCAUUUUGGGGAUUUAGGAGUUUGGCCAAGUGAAAUCCCUUCUCUCUCUGUAUUCUCUUGUUCUCUCUCUGUAUGCUCAGUCCCCCCCUGUACUCCCUGUUCACCCACGACUGCAUGGCCAGGCACGACUCCCAACACCAUCAUUAAGUUUGCAGACGACAACAGUGGUAGGCCUGAUCACCGACAACGACGAGACAGCCUAUAGGGAGGAGACCUGGCUGGAUGGUGCCAGAAUAACAACCUAUCCCUCAAUGUAACCAAGACAAAGGAAAUGAUUGUGGACUACAGGAAAAGGAGGACCGAGUACGCCCCCAUUCUCAUCAACAGGGCUGUAGUGGAGCAGGUUGAGAGCUUCAAGUUCCUUGGUGUCCACAUCAACAACAAACUAGAAUGAUCCAAACACACCAAGACCGUUGUGAAGAGGGCACGACAAAGCCUAUUCCCCCUCAGGAAACUAAAAGAUCUGGCAUGGGUCCUGAGAUCCUCAAAAGGUUCUACAGCUGCAACAUCGAGAGCAUCCUGACUGGUUGCAUCACUGCCUGGUACGGCAAUUGCUCGGCCUCUGACUGCAAGGCACUACAGAGGGUAGUGUGUACGGCCCAGUACAUCACUGGGGCUAAGCUGCCUGCCAUCCAGGACCUCUACACCAGGCGGUGUCGGAGGAAGGCCCUAAAAAUUGUCAGACUCCAGCCACCCCAGUCAUAGACUGUUCUCUCUACUACCGCAUGGCAAGCGGUACUGGAGUGCCAAGUCUAGGACAAAAAGGCUUCUCAACAGUUUUUACCCCCAAGCCAUAAGACUCCUGAACAGGGGGAGAGUCUCCGCCAAGAAUUUACGACCUGAGAUAACAGAACCUGGGUGUAGGAGUCAGAGGGGGAAGCCACGAUCUACACCCAGAAAGGGCCACAUCAUGACAACUGUGAUGCUGGAUGUGCAUGAUGACACCAGUGGUGUGUCAGAUGUAGGCCUACAUCACAAUGACAUAGCUGUGAUAGUGGAUGCCGGCUGCUGCUGAUUCCUUGCUUCUCACUAGGCGAUGUUGCCACACCUCAGCUGAGCAGAGGAUCCAAUAUGACAAACCAUGCAGUAAUUUCUCAAUGGUACAGCUUCUUGGUUAAAUACAAAGGUUCUCUUUCAUUUUCUCCUCUACAUUUGGAUUAACAAUGGUGCUUGUGUGCAUCUAAUAUAUUUUAUGAGCUUUGAUUAGAAGCAUAACCAAACGGCUUUAGAAGUAUAACACUGAAACUAUAGAUAACGUUAUCCAGAAAUCUUACAUACUGUUUUCUGAAAGUUAUUUUAAAACUGUAAAUCCCUAUCCUAAAGAAAAUUAUCCAACUUGUAACUCUGAUUUGGACUAUCGGUUUCUGUCAAAACACCCACACUGAUGAAAGUGAUAGUGGAAAGCCUAGAUAUGGAACCGCUUGGAUGAUAUCAGUCUUUGGGCAAGGCAUCAUGAGGUUAAGUCAUGUCCUCUGCCUCUCUCACUCCUCUCUGUCACUUCUCUCCUCUACACGUGGUCAUUGCUUCAGCACUUGGACAUUGCGGUCCUCCUGAUCAAGUUCAAAUGAAGUGUUCAGUAUUCUCUGAUUCUCAACACAAGUAAAAGAGGUCUCAUACAAUGAGUAUACCAAACAUUAGGAAGAACUUCCUAAUAUUGAGUUGCACCCCCUUUUGCCCUCAGAACAGCCUCAAUUCAUUGGGGCAUGGACUCUACAAGGUGUCAAGUGUUCCACAGGGAUGCUGGCCCAUGUUGAUGCCAAUGCUUCCCACAAUCCUUCUUUAACCUGUCUCCGCCCUUCAUCUACAAUGAUUGAAGUGGAUUUAACAAGUGACAUCAAUAACGGAUCAUAACAUUCACUUGGUCGGUCAGUCUGUCAUGGAAAGAGCAAAUCAAAUUUAACAUGUCACAUGUGCCAAAUAAAAUUUUUGUAGACGUUACCAUGAAAUGCUUACUUACAAGCCCUUAAACCAACAAUUCAGUUCAAGAAAGAGUUAAUAAAAUAUUUACUAAAUAAAGUAAAAAUAAUUCAAUCAAAAAGUAACACAACAAAUGUGUAUAACAAUAAUGAGGCUAUAUACAGGGGGUACAGGUACAGAGUCAAUGUGCCGGGAUACAGGUUAGGUGUUAAUGUUUUGUAUACUUGUUUUGCUCAUAAUGGUAGAUGUAUGCAUGUGUUCUGUCUUUUCUAGUUGCACAACUAAGUUUCUGACUUACAAUGACAGUCUGCUCACUAUAAUUCCCAUCCAAUAUAUUUUUACAUGUAUGUCUGGGGAAACCCCUUAUCACCCAGUAACUCCUCCUUCAGGCUGAUGAUAUCCAUGCCCUGUUGGACACCUAUGUCCCCAGAUGCAGAGAAGAAGGAUCACCAGCUCAGCUCAUCACUGUCCAAUUUCUGUCCACUCCAGGCCUGACUGCCCUUGACCAGCACAAAAACAUCCUGUGGUGUACGGCAUUAGCAUCAAAUAGCCCCUUUUCAGGGAAGUUAGGAACCAAUAUACACAGGCAGUUAGGAAAGCAAAGGCUAGCUUUUUCAAACAGAAAUUUGCAUCCUGCAGCACAAACUCCAAAAAGUUCUGGCACAUUGUAAAGUCCAUGGGGAAUAAGAGCACCUCCUCCCAGUUGCCCACUGCACUGAGGCUAGGAAACACUGUCAACACCGAUAAAUCCACAAUAAUUGAGAAUUUCAAUAAGCAUUUUUGUACUGCUGGCCAUGCUUUCCACCUGGCCACCCCUACCCUGGUCAACAGCCCUGCACCCCCCAGAGCAACUCCUCCAAGCCUCCCACAUUUCUCCUUCACCCAAAUCAAGAUAGCUGAUGUUCUGAAAGAGCUGCAAAAUCUGGACCCCUACAAAUCAGCCGAAAGCCAAGUUAACAGAUCACCGACCAUUUUGAUUCCCACCGUACCUUCUCCGCUAUGCAAUCUGGUUUCAGAGCUGGUCAUAGGUGCACCUCAGCCACGCUCAAGGGCUUAAACGAUAUCAUAACCGCCAUCGAUAAGAGACAUUGCUGUACAGCCAUAUUCAUCGACCUGGCCAAGGCUUUUGACUCUGUCAAUCACCACAUUCUCAUCGGCAGACUCAACAGCCUUGUUUCUCAAAUGACUGCCUCGCCUGGUUCACCAACUACUUCUCAGAGUUCAGUGUGUUAAAUUGGAGGGCCUGUUCUCCGGACCUCUGGCAGUCUCUAUGGGGGAGCCACAGGGUUCAAUUCUCGGGUCGACUCUUUUCUCUGUAUACAUCAAUGAUGUCGCUCUUGCUGCUGGUGAUUCUCUGAUCCACCUCUACGCAGACGACACCAUUCUGUAUACUUCUGGCCCCUCCUUGGACACUGUGUUAACUAACCUCCAGAAGAGCUUCAAUGCCAUACAACUCUCAUUCCGUGGCCUCCAACUGCUUUUAAAUGCAAGUAAAACUAAAUGUAUGCUCUUCAACCGAUGGCUGCCCGCACCUGCACGCCCGUCCAGCAUCACUACUCUGGACGGUUCUGACUUAGAAUAUGUGGACAACUACAAAUACCUAGGUGUGUGGUUAGACUGUAAACUCUCCUUCCAGCCUCACAAUAAGCAUCUCCAAUCCAAAAUUAAAUCUAGAAUCGGCUUCCUAUUUCGCAACAGCAUCCUUCCCUCACGCUGCCAAACAUACCCUCGUACAACUGACUAUCCUGCCGAUCCUUGACUUCGGCGAUGUCAUUUACAAAAUAGCAUCCAACACUCUACUCAGCAAAUUGGAUGCAGUCUAUCACAGUGCCAUCUGUUUUGUCACGAAAGCCCCAUAUACUACCCACCACUGAGACCUGUAUGCUCUCGUUGGAUGGCCCUCGCUUUAUGUUUGUCGCCAAAUCCACUGGCUCCAGGUCACCCAUAAGUAUUUGCUAGGUAAAGCCCCGCCUUAUCUCAGCUCACUGGUCACCAUAGCAGCACCCACCUGUAGCACGCGCUCCAGCAGGUAUAUUUCACUGGUCAUCCCCAAAGCCAAUUCCUCUUUGGCUGCCUUUCCUUCCAAUUCUCUGCUGCCAAUGAAUGGAACAAAUGGAGAGAGAAAAAAAAUCACUGAAGCUGGAGACCCAUAUCUCCCUCACUAACUUUAAGCACCAGCUGUUUGAGCAGAUCACUGCACCUGUACAUACCCCAUCUGUAAAUAGCCCAUCCAUCUACCUCAUCCCCAUACUGUUGUUUAUUUUUUGGCUCCUUUGCACCCUAGUGUCUUUACUUGCACAUUCAUUUCUGCACAUAUCAUUCCUGCGUUUAAUUGCUAUAUUUGAAUUAUUUUGCCACUAUGGCCUAUUUAUUGCCUUACCUUAUUUGCACACACUGUAUAUAUACUUGUUCUAUUGUAUUAUUGACUGUUUAUUAUUUAUUAUUAUUAUUUGUUUAUUCCAUGUGGAACUCAAACUGUUGUUUGUGUUGCACUGCUUUGCUUAUUCUUGACCAGUUCACAGUUGUAAAUUAGAACUUGUUCUCAACUAGCCUACCUGGUUAAAUAAAGGUGAAAUAAAUAGAAUCAAAAAUGUAACUUAAGAAGGUGGCACUUUAAGGUUGUCAUAACUCUGUGGUCACUAAAGAUCCCAUGGCACUUAUUGCCAGAGUAUGUAAUGAUAUGUACCAUUUUAGGUGCAAUGUGUAUAUCAAACUGUAUUCCUAUCAUGUAAUACUGUGUAUAAAAAUACCAUGUAUGAAUAAUGUAUAUGUAACAAUAUUUGUAUAAAACAUGUGUGAAACAAAGUUACUUUUGUACUCCAAAUAGAAGGGUGGAUGGGUCAAUAAAAUAAGAGUAUGUAAGUGGGGUUAGGGUGGUGAGUUUCACCUUACACUGAGUCCAAUCAAUUAGUAUUAUUUCAUGUUUAGCCAUCUUCCAUAGCUUGAAGACCAUGCUUGAGAUGGAGACUGGUACAAAAUACCAAAAAGGUAGACUGCAAGGUUAUGUUAAGUUAAAUAAGUGACUAUAGUAAGUGCCUAGGUGCCAAAUAAAGUAACAGGAUUUAAGUUAAA